ensembl:lncRNA novel transcript
AGUCCCCUCCUUCCUUCAGUUCUGAAGCUGUGUCUGAUUCACUGUGACAGCCCCUCUCUCAUGGGUCCCAUCAUCCCUCCCUGCAUCUCAUUUCUGUUGGGAAUUCCCAAAGAACUUCCAGAACAAUGUUGAAUAGAAGUGCCAAGAGCAAAUAACCAUGCCAUGCUCCUAAUUUUAUGAAUCAGAAGGAGUUUCUUUGCUGCUUCCCUUUUCAGAAACUUGGAGACCAUAUAUCUUUGCAAAGUGGAUUUUUAAAAAUAAAGAAGAAAAGAUUAAAUCAGAGAAGCUCCCAAGUUUUCUGCCUUCUGCCUGGACCAGCUUCCUGUGCUUCUUCCUUUCCAAAAUUGAUGUGGUAAAUGUUAUUGCAGUAGCACUGGCUCAGAAAAGCCCAGGCCUUCCAAGAAUGUAACCUUCAUGGAGAAAUUCUGCGACUCUUUCUCCUCUUGGGAGGCUAGAGAGGUAAGACGUAGAAGGAGAGAGAGAAAAAGAGACACGGAGAAAUUUGCCUUGUUAGUGGCUUUCAGGAGAACAAGGCCAGAAGACACAGAGUCCCGGACCUUAUCCACAAGUGUGAGAAGCCAAGAAGGAAAUGACUACCUCUAGAAAGCCUUUCCUGAACGCUUCGACGGAGCUACAAUGGAGAUGAUGUGGUCCACCUUUGGGGUAGGCUCGUAAGAACUGCAGUGGAUGUAACUCGGGAGCUACGGGGGCUGUGUUUCCUGCUGGGGGAUGAAGCAGAGGAACUUGAUUCUCACGAAUCAUCAAAUUUCCCAUCUGGCGUCAGUACCCACCGAGGCCCAGACGCCUCCCUGCCCUUGGAUUCUAUUAACACAAGACAUUUGUAUAACCUUCUGUAUAAUAAUAAAUUAUCCUUUGAAGAUUUUA